GCUGGGUCUUCGGGGCCCACCUCCCACCCGUGCUUACCGUACCCUGUUGCUUCGGCGGGCCCGCCUUCGGGCGGCCCGGGGCCUGCCCCCGGGACCGCGCCCGCCGGAGACCCCAAUGGAACACUGUCUGAAAGCGUGCAGUCUGAGUCGAUUGAUACCAAUCAGUCAAAACUUUCAACAAUGGAUCUCUUGGUUCCGGCAUCGAUGAAGAACGCAGCGAAAUGCGAUAACUAAUGUGAAUUGCAGAAUUCAGUGAAUCAUCGAGUCUUUGAACGCACAUUGCGCCCCCUGGUAUUCCGGGGGGCAUGCCUGUCCGAGCGUCAUUUCUCCCCUCCAGCCCCGCUGGUUGUUGGGCCGCGCCCCCCCGGGGGCGGGCCUCGAGAGAAACGGCGGCACCGUCCGGUCCUCGAGCGUAUGGGGCUCUGUCACCCGCUCUAUGGGCCCGGCCGGGGCUUGCCUCGACCCCCAAUCUUCUCAGAUUGACCUCGGAUCAGGUAGGGAUACCCGCUGAACUUAAGCAUAUCAUAAGCCGGGAGGAACAUUACCGAGUGCUGGGUCCUUCGGGGCCCAACCUCCCACCGUGCUUACGUACCUGGUUGCUUCGGCGGGCCGCCUCUCGGGCGGCCCGGGGCCGUCCCGACCCCCCCCGAAACACAAUGGGAACACUGUCUCGAAAGCGCUGCGGUCUGAAGUCGAAUUGGAUAUCCACAUCACUCACAACUUUCACAAUGGGAUCUCUUGGGUUUCGCAUCGAUGAAGAACGC
rnacentral:rRNA from 1 species